rnacentral:SRP_RNA from 1 species
AUGAGGUCCUCUCGCAGCAAAUCACCGUGAAUCCCGCUAGACCUGGAAAGGAGCAACGGUAACGGUGUAGAUUUGGGUGCCGAGAUGUGGCUUUUGUAG